rnacentral:piRNA from 1 species
UAGAAAGAUGCCCCUCUUAUUUCCAGGUGA